CCACCACCACAGCAUCAUGUCUUGCUGCAGCUACUGGCAUAUCCUGUCCAACCCCAUCCCCCAAUAUGACUGCAUUACAAACAAGGCUAGAAAGGCAACAACAAAAUUUAAGGACCGCACUGAAGAUGAGCAGGGAAAAAAAUACCCAUCACCAAACAAACAAAGAAAGGACACACACUCUCAGGAAGAGCAGCAUGCAGACCACAAAGGGCAUUCCUGGAAGGACCUCCACGUAGAGAUAGCCCCGUUUCAGCACGUGCAAUUGCAGAACGUGUGGCUGAAACAACUCUGCUGCAGAGAAGAGCUGGGACUCCCUGCGCCGUGUCUCCAGCACAAGUCCCCGCUGUCACAUCAAGGUGGCCAGCCUGCUGCUUCUAUCUUAUCCACAAUGGACAGAAAGAAGAGAUUACACCUUUCUCUCCUGAAGCACUCUUGUAAUUACAUGAAAAGGGAUCGUAUGACCCCUGAGUCACCUCUCCUCUAAGUUAAACCAACCCUGGCUUUUGUUCAGCAUUCCUUGUAAGUCCUGCUGCCUGUGUCACUUGUUUGUGCUGAGAUAGGCCUGCCUGCCGGAUAAAGCAAAAAUGCAGCAGCCUGCCUUCUCAUCAGAGCUGAGCUGUGAUUACUGCAGCUACCUGUCUCCAAGCAUGAAGAAAAUGUUCCUGGCUUAUAGGCCACCACUUUUUGGGCCACAGACCUAGAAAUACCUAGCUCUCCUGCUGCCAGUCUGUCCAGACCUAGGCAAACUGAACCCCAAUUUAUAGCUCCUUCAUUUGACAGGCAGGUCUAGAAAUAACAAUUUGCUUAACUUAGACACAGCACAAACAAGGUAAUGUGAAAUUGCAGAUUGUACAAAUGUGGUAAAAUCUGGUGGGGAUGCUCACUGUUAUGACAGACUUUCAUGUAGAUAGGUGUUCCCUCUUGAAAGUUAUUUUAAAAAAAUUUGGUCUGAAAUUCUACAGGUGUCUUUAAAAACUCAGAGAAUGACGACAUCAAACUGCUGUGAUACCAGUAGCUUCCAAAUAAAUGUGGGGACUUCAGAACACCAGGAAUCUCAUGGGUAAGCACUGCUAUUUGAAAGCCCUUCGACUGAACGAUUAAACCAAUUUGCCUAACGUUGCUGUGACUCACGGGUUUCCUAGUAUCAAGCUGUUUGAGCCUGCUGGGAGGAUUCUCACUAUAGUGUAUUCCUUCUCCCUAGAGGAUGAUUACAAGUAUCAGAAUGAUUUCUGGUGCAGGCUGGUGUUUUAAUAUUUUGUAUCAGUGUGGGAGAGAUCCACGUGGAAUCACUCAAAUGCUUACUGUUACAACUUUUCCUCCAGGCUGGAAUUUCAUACACAAUCAACCUUCCUUCAGCUGUACUGGCCAAGAGACUCUGUACCAAAGCUUCGCAUGGAGUUUUACAGGCUUCCUAACUUAAAAAGAGAAGGAUUUGGUUUGCUGUGGGUUUAAUGCAUUAAAUUAUAAGAGAGAACUCUCUGCAAUUAUAAUGAAAGAGCACUGAUUCAAAGCAUUUUCUGGGUCUUCUACACACCCAUCUGGACAUAUUUAACUUGAAGAAAUCCAGAAAUAGUGAGGGCAUUUUAAAAGACACAAACAUUGCUUGUUUUUACUCUUUAUUGAAAGAAUGAGUCCCACAUAGGUAAAGGUAAGCUAG